rnacentral:rRNA from 1 species
CCUACGGGAGGCAGCAGUGAGGAAUAUUGGUCAAUGGCCGGAAGGCUGAACCAGCCAUGCCGCGUGAAGGUCAGUGCCCUAUGGGCGUUAAACUUCUUUUGUGCGGGAGCAAUAAUGGUCACGUGUGGCCAGACGAGAGUACCGUACGAAUAAGCAUCGGCUAACUCCGUGCCAGCAGCCGCGGUAAUACGGGGGAUGCAAGCGUUAUCCGGAUUUAUUGGGUUUAAAGGGUGCGUAGGCUGUGAGGUAAGUCAGCGGUGAAAUGCCCCCGAUCAACGGGGUGAAGUGCCAUUGAUACUGCCUGGCUGGAAUGCGGAUGCCGUGGGAGGAAUGUGUGGUGUAGCGGUGAAAUGCAUAGAUAUCACACAGAACACCGAUUGCGAAGGCAUCUCACGAAUCCGCGAUUGACGCUGAUGCACGAAAGCGUGGGUAUCAAACAGGAUUAGAUACCCGUGUAGUC